rnacentral:rRNA from 1 species
AUUGAACGCUGGCGGCAGGCUUAACACAUGCAAGUCGAGCGGAGAUGAGGUGCUUGCACCUUAUCUUAGCGGCGGACGGGUGAGUAAUGCUUAGGAAUCCGCCUAUUAGUGGGGGACAACAUUCCGAAAGGAAUGCUAAUACCGCAUACGUCCUACGGGAGAAAGCAGGGGAUCUUCGGACCUUGCGCUAAUAGAUGAGCCUAAGUCGGAUUAGCUAGUUGGUGGGGUAAGGGCCUGCCAAGGCGACGAUCUGUAGCGGGUCUGAGAGGAUGAUACGCCACACUGGGACUGAGACACGGCCCAGAAUCCGACGGGAGGCAGCAGUGGGGAAUAUUGGACAAUGGGGGGAACCCUGAUCCAGCCAUGCCGCGUGUGUGAAGAAGGCCUUAUGGUUGUAAAGCACUUUAAGCGAGGAGGAGGCUACUGAGACUAAUACUCUUGGAUAGUGGACGUUACUCGCAGAAUAAGCACCGGCUAACUCUGUGCCAGCCGCCGCCGUAA